rnacentral:lncRNA from 1 species
UUUUUUUUUUUUUUUUGUGGAUGUAAAUAGCCCUAUUCUCUGCUUGAACACAGUAUUCUCCCAGUCCACACCCAUUGCCAGUGUCUUUCUUUGGUGCCUUUCCUGUUCAGCAUUCUCAGCCUGUGGCAGUAAAGAGAAACUUUGCUACACAACAAAAAGCUGCUAAAUCUCCCUCUAUUUUUUUAAAAUCACUAACAUUAUAUUGCAAUGAGAGAAAUUUUAAAAAGUCUCUAUUUAAAUUCUUUUUUUAAAUUUCUCUUCAGUUGGUGUGUUUCCGGGAUGUCUUAUUUUUAGAUGGUUACACUGUUAGAACACUAUUUUUCAGAAUCUGAAUGUAAUUUGUGUAAUAAAGUGUUUUCAGAGCAUUAGCAGUCAGAGUGUAUUUUUGUGAUUUUUUGCACACUUACAACAUUUUAUACACAUCUUUUAAUAAUUACACAAUUAUCAGUGAGUAGAGCUAGUUCAUUCUUUUCAACCAAGAGAAAUGUUGUGAGUAAAAUUUAGAAGACAAUUUUAUGGGACCAAGAUAGAUCGAGAACGAUGGUAAGAAUAUUCUUACCUGAAUAAAACCAGAUUCUCUUAGAAACCUCAUAAAAUGUUUGACAUAUAGCACAAUAAGUAGUAGAAUUAGUUAAUAGAGUAGGGGCCUAUAUCCCAGAUGUCAAGAGCAAAUGGGCCCAUCAGCAGAACUUACUACUUACUGGCUGUUUUCCCUUAAAGAAUUGCUUGACCCAGGGUCAAGGGUCCUUACCGUAUAGAGAAGUUCUCACACUGACUACAGAUUACUUUUUGAGAGUUUUUAAAAUGAUACAUCAAUGUAACUUAGUGAGAACCUGAUAACUUCCAUUUUUAAAGGUUUUGACUCUAGAACAUUUUCAUCAAAAUGCCUACUUGUAUUUCAGACAUCUAAUAAUUAAAAUAUUAAGGAAAGAGACUUGCUAAAAGAAAAUGUUAUUGUUUCAAGUCUUACUCCUUCACAACCGGGGAUCUGACGGGGAGUGUUUGUCCACUCCAACAAGGAGCUCACCAUGAAGUUACAGCUUCACUUUUCCCAUUCCUGUGUUUCCCCUGCAAAAGAAAAGGUCCAACUCUGACCAUUCCUUUUUCUUUCCACCAAAUUGGUAGUAAAUACAAGAACAGUGUUUGGUUGGUUGUGAGCACGUUCAACUCCAUCAAUAACACUUGUUAUUUCAACAGCUGAAUUAGUUCCAUACUUGGACUGCGUGUGAUAUGGGCUGGCUGGGAUGCAGUCCAAGCUUGCAGACACAAGUUAGUCAGACUUAUACCUACGAUGUCUUAUGCAGCCCAUGAUCUGACCAUCAGCUCCAAUUGCUAUGCUUUUAAAAUAUGUCCAUCUGAUCCUGUCUGAGCGGUUUUAUGAUGAAUUAAUUGAAACAAAGAGAUCAAAGUGCUAAAAUACAAGGGAACACGAAAAAGAAAGUAGACUCAUCAAAAUAGAAUAAUCCUUACAAGCCUGUGUGACACCUGCUCGUGGAGGACGAAUUUGACUCCAGAUCUUCUAGUAGCUCAUUAAACAAUACUUGAUUCCUUCCAUCAAACAUUUAGUUCUCUUAAUAUUAAGGUGAGGACAAUUGGUCCCCAAGUGUCUUCAGAAGGUUAAUGCCAUGUACUGUAAUUUGAAUUCUUAAGUCAAAGACGUAGAGUUGAUAAGUACAUUUUGCAGAUCUGUUACUGUAUGUGUCUCUCAACAGAGACACAUGGCAUUAGAAGAAGGAAAUCCCAGAAAACAAAAUUUUUCUCAGACAUUAUAACACUGCACUACUUCACUACAAGAAGUCUGCCUCUGUGGGUUACAUAAAGGUAGACUAGAAACAAAUGGCCUGCAUUGACUCCAGCAAGUCUUUCCACUGGGAUUGUUCUUAGCUGAACUUUACUUACUGAGUCAAUUAAAGAUCGCUCUGCCUGAGACACGGGGGGAGCAGAUCCCAGCCCUCAGCUGACAUGGAAUUUAAGAGCUCUAUUACUCUCUCAGACAUCCUUAUUUACCAUAGUUGCCCUUUAAUGGACUACAGCUGGGGGUGUUCUUAAAUUUCUGUAGAUGAGUCUAAUGUAAAGCAAGAGUUUAAACUCACUGCUAUUAAGAAUGACCAUUUCUAUCCACCAGUUACAAUAAAGAUUGGUAUGUUUUCCCUC